CUAGUCACCCCUUCCCUCACUCUGUCACUAGUCACCCCCUCACUCUAGUGACAGUGAGGGAGGGUGUGACUAGUGACAGAGUGAGGGAGGGAAGUGGUGACUAGUGACAGCGUUAGGGAGGGAAGGGGUGACUAGUGACAGAGUGAGGGGUGACUAGGGACAGAGUGAGGGAGGUGGUGACUAGUGACAGUCACCACCUCCCUCCCUCUGUCACCAGUCAACCCUUCCUUCCCUCUGUCACCAGUCAACCCUUCCUUCCCUCUGUCACUAGUCAACCCUUCCCUCACUCUGUCACCCCCUCACUCUGUCACCCCCUCACUCUGUCACCCCCCUCACUCUGUCACUAGUCACCCCCCUCACUCUGUCAAUAGUCACCCCCUCACUCUAGUGA
rnacentral:sRNA from 1 species